rnacentral:rRNA from 1 species
CCUACGGGGGGCUGCAGUGAGGAAUAUUGGUCAAUGGACGAGAGUCUGAACCAGCCAAGUAGCGUGAAGGAUGACUGCCCUAUGGGUUGUAAACUUCUUUUAUAUGGGAAUAAAACGUUCCACGUGUGGGAUUUUGUAUGUACCAUAUGAAUAAGGAUCGGCUAACUCCGUGCCAGCAGCCGCGGUAAUACGGAGGAUCCGAGCGUUAUCCGGAUUUAUUGGGUUUAAAGGGAGCGUAGGUGGCUUGUUAAGUCAGUUGUGAAAGUUUGCGGCUCACCCGUAAAAUUGCAGUUGAAACUGGCAGUCUUGAGUACAGUAGAGGUGGGCGGAAUUCGUGGUGUAGCGGUGAAAUGCUUAGAUAUCACGUAGAACUCCGAUUGCGAAGGCAGUUCACUGGACUGCAACUGACACUGAGGCUCGACAGUGUGGGUAUCAAACAGGAUUAGAUACCCGGGUAGUC